rnacentral:rRNA from 1 species
UCGGGAAUUUUGGGCAAUGGGCGAAAGCCUGACCCAGCAACGCCGCGUGAAGGAUGAAGUAUUUCGGUAUGUAAACUUCGAAAGAAUAGGAAGAAUAAAUGACGGUACUAUUUAUAAGGUCCGGCUAACUACGUGCCAGCAGCCGCGGUAAUACGUAGGGACCAAGCGUUGUUCGGAUUUACUGGGCGUAAAGGGCGCGUAGGCGGCAAUUCAAGUCAUCUGUGAAAUCUCCGGGCUUAACUCGGAACGGUCAGAUGAUACUGCUUUGCUAGAGUGCAGAAGGGGCAAUCGGAAUUCUUGGUGUAGCGGUGAAAUGCGUAGAUAUAGGAAGGAACACCAGUGGCGAAGGCGACCACCUGGACUGAUACUGACACUGAGGUGCGAAAGCGUGGGGAGCAAACAGGAUUAGAUACCCCGGUAGUCCCUGAGCGGGCUGGCAAGGCGCAU